rnacentral:lncRNA from 1 species
GCCUUCCUCGUGGUAUCGUCCAAACUGUUGCGCAUAUUAUUCACCGAAGGGGAGUUACCCUCGAACGUAUAUCGAUUCCCAUGGGGCUGAACUCAGUGCGCAAGGCUCGAAAUUCCCACCCUCGUGAGGAAAAUGUUGGUUAUUGAUGGAGCAUGAGGAAACGAGAAGUUCAAUCAUUUUUCAAUUAAGCUGUCAAUAAUUUGGAGAAGGAACUUUUUGUGUAAGACAACUGAAGAAUGGUCUUCGUACGAGGUUAAAUUUAAAGAGCGAUCAAGCGAUCUCGAAGAAUACGGUUGAUCAACAAAGGGAGCGCCGUCGAUGCUUCGCUGUCGGUGGCGUCGGCAUUUAUAAAAGUAAUAAAACAAUCGAACAACGACUCUACGAAGUGAGUGCGAUCAGAGUGAGACGGAGGAGUAAGAGUAAGAGGAGACGAUAAAAAAUAACAAGUUUCAGAAAGGACACGAAAGAAAGAAAAAGAGCGAGAGAGAGAGAGAGAGAGAGAGAGGGAGAAGGAGAAAGCUCAAGAGUUCGCGAUCGGAGGUGAAAAUAUUGAGAGAAGCCAUGGGCGGGAGCAAAGGAACGUGAAAAAGAGAUAAAAAACCUCGCGGAUAAGAAAAUAAUAAUAAAAAAAUGGAGAGAAAAUAAAAAGGGAUAGGAAUGAAACACACGAGAACAGCGACCCGACCCGACCGACCGGUAGCUCAGCCAAGCGGACCACGUGUAUAUAUCUUGCUCCGAUUCACCACGCACACUGUGCCCGAUUCCUCCUCGUGGUUCUCAAAGACAAACAACACCCUUUUCGCUUCCUUUCGACUUCGACUCGAGCCUUUGUUUUCAUUGAACUUGAAAAUUGAGCUUUUAAUCACACUUUAUAAAAUUGUCUGCAACUAUUGGGUUUUCGCACUAAAAGUCAAAGUAUUGAUAGUCAUGAUUGGAACAUGGAGAUCCUGAAAUUUUAUCCAAAAUUAACAAAAAGCGUAAAUACCAAUUUUUUUCGUGCACUUUUAUCGAUCGGAAAAAAACGAAAUCAAUUCUUUUAGUACUUUAGUAUUUUCUUUUUUCGUCAUGCCUGGGCCUCUCAAAAUCCAAAUUUCUAUCAAGUUUUCUUUUCGUGGUUUUAAUCGAUAAUUAAGCUUCUUUUUCUAUGAAAACGGAAACGCGUUUGCCACAAAAGUUUUAAUUUUCUCGUCGAUCUAAUCCGACUAUUGCUAGAUUUCUAUUAAUAACUCUAUCGAAGGACACAAAAUUGAAAGUUUCAUUAAUAAUUAUAAUUCGAUGAAGUCAUAAUGAGCUGUGAAUCUGAACGAUAAUGUUUCGAAGGUGAUGGUGAAUUCGUAAGAAAAUGGUCGACAGGUUGAGAGCCAGGGUAUGUAGAGCAGAUGCUCGGGCAUGGCGAGUGCUAUAGCGGGGGGUGCGUGAUUUUUCAUCGCCGACAGCCUCCUCCUUUCGAGACCCCGGAGCAUUCCACCUUCAGCUCUGCAUACUGCAUUUGCCGCCUUCUCUUUCUUCCUAUCUCUUCUUCGACCUCUCGUCUUUCAUUCUUACUUCGUAUUCAUUUGGUCGUCGUGUACUUAAAAUUACUUUUACGAUGUAUAGACUUUAAUCUUUUUUUCAGUCAGUUUUUCAGAUUUUUUUCUCUCCAUCUUAUUCACGACACACAUGCAACGCUACAGAGCUGCGGUCAACUUUCAUGCUUCGAUGACGAAAAAUGUGCUGAAUUCUUCAAUUACGCGACCACGGACGUUCUCCGCGCGAAAACUCCAGUCCGCUGUUUCGGCUUGGCUCUUGCACCGAAAACAAAAUUCGGUAGCAGGACAAAAUUUUCCAAGUGAAAAUGAAAAUUUCAACUGAAACAAUGAGCUCCGAUAUGCACUCAAAGUACAUGCGAUGUGACAAAUCAGAAGCUCGGAGUUAAUGAGAGGAUGUAAGGAGCACUUGGCAACUCUGCGAAGAGAAUACUUCGCGAAGAUUACAUCCUCUAGCUCAUACGAAAUUCACCUCAGCGCCUCCAUUCGCGGGGAAAUGAUUCGUGAGAAAAACCAUCCGCUCUCAUCGUUCUCGCCACGAUGGACAUCGACGUGCGAACAAAGAUCGAUUUAGCCUCGCAUUCAAAGUGAUUGGACCACAUCAAACUCAAGUUUUUCUGUUCACCAUAAAUUUUGGACACAGUUUAUUAUUCAUCGUCAUGGAAAAGAGUUUCUUUGAGUUUUCACACGCCUCACGAUUCCCUCACUCGGAUCGCUCGAUGCCAUUACAUCAAUGCAUUUUCCGCAAUGGAAAGAUUUCCAUCGGAAUUUAAACUCCGAAAUAUUGAUGUAGCAACGUCGAUUGUUGGUGUAAUCGACGACUAGCUGGUAAACGAUUGGUCUCAACAAUGAGCGAGUGCAUAAUGCUCAAGGGAUAAUGUUGUUAGCUAAUUAGUGAGCAUUACAGUUGAUCGAACGUCACAAAGCAAAGCGCAUACAAGCUGCGCGCAAAACACAUGCACAAUGACAUUAUUUCCAACGCAAUUCCCACACGGACAAUACACAUUCUCUUUCGUUUGUCUAAUGUUCCAUCUAACGACGCGGAAGUUUUUAAUUCACGGCCCUGGCAAAUGACACUGCGAGAUUAACUGUUACACGAGAAUUAGAUACAAUCUGUUCUGCAUAUCGGAUUGACGCUCGUUCGCUCCUUUUACAAAACAGACUAUCGCUCCAACGUUUACAUCUUGAUGUAUGUGUAUAGCGAUUGUGUAUCGAUAUCCACGAGAAAACAACGUUCAAACGUAUCGCGGUAUCACGACUCGUUCCUUCUUUCACUCCUCUCCUUUUUUCUCCAAUUUCUUUUCUCUUUUUUUCGAUCAACAGAUAAUUACUCGUUAUUGUGCUAGUUGCAACGCGAAAGCGCUGAUAAGGGGUGCGUUAAUAGAGCCAUUCGCGUUCUGAACUACACAAAAGGGUGGAGAGACCUCGAAAAGCCUUUGAAAUUGUACUGCGACAGCAGUGCAUCGAUAUUCUCUUUCUUUCUUCCUCUUUUUCAU